rnacentral:rRNA from 1 species
GAAUCCCGUAUAUGGCACGGACUGCCGUUGCUCUGCGAUACACUCUCAACGAGUCGAGUUGUUUGGGAAUGCAGCUCCAAGUGGGUGGUAAAUGCCAUCUAAAGCUAAAUAUUGGCGAGAGACCGAUAGCGAACAAGUACCGUGAGGGAAAGAUGAAAAGCACUUUGGAAAGAGAGUGAAACAGUACGUGAAAUUGUUGAAAGGGAAACACUUGAAGUCAGUCGCGCCGUUCGGGACUCAGCCUUGCUUCUGCUUGGUUUACUUCCCGUUGGGUGGGUCAACAUCAGUUUUGGUCGGAGGAGAAAGGCCUGUGGAAGGUAGCAGCUUUGCUGUGUUAUAGCCACCUGUUGUAUACUUCGACUGGGACUGAGGAUCGCAGCACGCCUUUGGCCGGGGCUUUGCCCACGUACGUGCUUAGGAUGUUGGCAUAAUGGCUUUAAGUGACCCGUCUUGAAACACGGACCAAGGAGUCUAACAUGUGCGCGAGUGUUUGGGUGUUAAACUCGGACGCGAAAUGAAAGUAACAAGUUGGGAACACUUUUGUGUGCACCGACGCCCGGAGCUGACCUUCUGUGACGCAUCUGCGGUAGAGCGUAUAUGUUGGGACCCGAAAGAUGGUGAACUAUGCCUGAAUAGGGUGAAGCCAGAGGAAACUCUGGUGGAGGCUCGUAGCGAUUCUGACGUGCAAAUCGAUCGUCAAAUUUGGGUAUAGGGGCGAAAGACUAAUCGAACCAUCUAGUAGCUGGUUCCUGCC